AAUGGAACUUGGCUUCUCUAUGACAUCUGGAUGCUCAAGCUGUGAAAGUCUGCCUGGCCCUGCUUAUCAAAUCUUGCCCUUAAAUGAGUACGCACAAAACAGUGCAGCUUAAGGCCAGGAGAUAUUGUAGGACUUGAAGCCUGCUUUCCAUGCCUGGAGAAGCAUUUUGCCUACACUCUAUUUCAGCGCCUCUUUGUAAAAUACAAACCUUGCUUCUUUAACCCACAGUGGGUGAGCCCCCAGUAAAUGCAUCCCACCCAAUGGGACAUGUCACAUGCAUGCAGGUGUUCCAUCUCCUCUCCCUGCUGGUAUGAGAUGUGUACACAGCCUGGCACACAUUCUGGUCGGCCUGAUUGUUUGUCCUGCAGAGACCUCGGGAUUUCAUCUGAACAGAUUUUGAGAGGGGAGGUGUGUGCCUCCACACGUACGAGUGAUGGUGCUAUCAAUCUUCUUGACUCACCCAUCAUCAUUCUCCGAUGAAUUGUGAUGUGCGGCGCUCCUGACAGACUCCUUCACCUCUCUCUGAGCCAUAGGAGCAGCUGCAGGACUGUAGUACUGUAAAGUUGCCACAGCAGAUCUCAAACCUUUCACUUUGCCUCUCCCUGUGUCUGUGCCAGCAAUAUCUGCUAUCUCAAAGCAUGAAAGUUCUGACUAAAAUCAUUGCUUAUUCCAGUGGCUCGUCUAC
rnacentral:lncRNA from 1 species